rnacentral:rRNA from 1 species
GGAUAAUAUUUUGAACCGCAUGGUUCAAAAGUGAAAGACGGUCUUGCUGUCACUUAUAGAUGGAUCCGCGCUGCAUUAGCUAGUUGGUAAGGUAACGGCUUACCAAGGCAACGAUGCAUAGCCGACCUGAGAGGGUGAUCGGCCACACUGGAACUGAGACACGGUCCAGACUCCUACGGGAGGCAGCAGUAGGGAAUCUUCCGCAAUGGGCGAAAGCCUGACGGAGCAACGCCGCGUGAGUGAUGAAGGUCUUCGGAUCGUAAAACUCUGUUAUUAGGGAAGAACAUAUGUGUAAGUAACUGUGCACAUCUUGACGGUACCUAAUCAGAAAGCCACGGCUAACUACGUGCCAGCAGCCGCGGUAAUACGUAGGUGGCAAGCGUUAUCCGGAAUUAUUGGGCGUAAAGCGCGCGUAGGCGGUUUUUUAAGUCUGAUGUGAAAGCCCACGGCUCAACCGUGGAGGGUCAUUGGAAACUGGAAAACUUGAGUGCAGAAGAGGAAAGUGGAAUUCCAUGUGUAGCGGUGAAAUGCGCAGAGAUAUGGAGGAACACCAGUGGCGAAGGCGACUUUCUGGUCUGUAA